UUUGCAGCCGAUUUUUUGAAUGGCUUAGUUUUAAGGUAUACAAGCAGAGCCAUCUAGACACAGUUAGAUAGUAAUAGUUGUCCUACAGCCAUCUCUGCCUACAGCGGAGAGAUUUAGACAGAAUUUAGAUAUAAAAUAUAAUUUGAUUGAUAUUAAUUAUUUAAAUUUAAAAAAGGAGACGCUUUUAUUAUUUGGUCAUGGCGGCUUCAAAGUUUAUACGACGACGAGUUAGUUUUAGUUGCUACCAGUUGAUUAAUAGGGAAGCCAUUAACUAGAGUAGACAUUUAGCAAAUGGAGCGCAUUAUUUAAAAAAUAAAUGUGUUUACUUUAUCGAAUUAGUCAACUGAAAUUUUAAAAAGGUUAGACAGACGUAGUCGUGCGGGGGUGCGGGUUUUAGCGUGUUAACUAAUAACUAACCAACGGAGAAAUGUUUCAAGUUGAAUUCUCAAAAUUCAAGGUUAUGGUUUUUUUCAGGGAAAGUGUAAGUAAAAGUUUUUCCAUGUUUGUCAUUGAUAUUGAUUGCUGGUAAUUGAGACGUGCAAACCCCGUGACGUGAGUCUUCUGUGCGACACCUGAGCCUUAAAAAAUCAAACGAAACUGAAUGUGGAACCAAGGACUAAAUUGACUCUAUAAUCCUGAGGGAAAAAAAUCUCCGUUUCUUCCCCGUCACGUUUUAGCUAUUUACCGGAAAAAAUUGGAAUGGUUGUUAAAGCAGAGACAUCUAUAAACGAAAAAAGAUUUAGCGCAUGUGGUCAGGCCUGUGCCUUUAUUUUUCACAAGUUUUGACAAGUGAUCAACGUAAACAGACGAGAUUAUAAAUUUAUCCUAAAUUUAUUAUUCUAUGGAUACGCCCGGUUCCACAGUCAAGUUUAAUUAAUCAUGGCUGAAGAUUUUUUAGCCGAAAAUAAUCUGUGUGGACAGACCCUUCUGAAAUUGGUUUCAAGAGCUCAUGCCAUAAUUGCUGAACUAUUACGUCUAAAGGAUUUUAUUCCACAGAUUUUUCAGUCUGAUCAAAAUAAAUAUCAUGAAAUUGUAUUGGAUUUUCGAUAUUUUAAAGAACAAGAUGUCUUUGAUUCAAAGAUUAAUGGAAGCGAUGUUUUAGUGGAAUUGGAUGAGGAAUUACGAAAGAACUAUAUUGAAAUCCUAACAAGAUUCUAUCUUGCAUUUGAAAGUGUUCACAAGUAUGUCUGUGAUUUGAACACCUUUCUUUAUGAACUUGAUGAAGGGAUUUAUAUCCAACAAACUCUUGAAACAAUUAUUUUAAAUGAUGAAGGCAAACAGCUCAUGUGUGAGGCACUUUAUCUAUAUGGCAUCAUGCUACUAGUCAUAGAUAAUCAUGUUGACGGGCCUGUUAGGGAGAGAAUGCUAGUCUCUUAUUACAGAUAUUCUGUUCAAAGAACUCAUUCUAAUUCCAAGUUGGAUGAAGUAUGUCAGCUUUUGCGUUCAACUGGAUUUUUGAAAUCUCAGCCAGGAAAAAGGCCUCAACAUUACCCAGAAGACUAUUUCAAACGUAUUCCGAUUGCUCCAAUUUAUUUGGAUGUAGUAAUAGGUCAUUUGAGAUCAGAUGAUAUCUAUCAUCAAAUUGCAACCCAUCCGCAUCCUGAUCACCGAAGCACUGCACUUGCUCAACAAGCAGCGAUGCUCGUGAUUUGUCUUUAUUUCACUCCUGAUAUUCUCCACAAUCAAACAGCAAAAAUGAGAGAAAUAGUUGACAAAUUCUUUCCAGAUAAUUGGGUUACCAGUGUUUAUAUGGGAUUAAUUUUCAACUUGAUUGAAGUAUGGGAGCCGUACAAAGCGGCGCGAAUGGCACUCAGCAACACAGCGCAGGCUGCCAAUGUAAAAGAGUGUUCAGUUAAGCAUAGCAACCAAUUGGACCAACUUAUAACACAAUUACGUCAAUUACUCAAAGAAGGAGUCCUGACCGAAGAAUUCCUAUUAGAUAAUAUGCAGAAGCUGAUCAACUUGAUCCGACAGUCAAACGUUACUCUACGAUGGAUGCUCUUACAUACCAACACAUUAACAGCUGGCGCAGAAUCAGUUAAGAAAUGCCGUCAAAUACGGGAUCAAGUUCUCAACGAUACGAAAUACCAGCCCGUUACAGUAUUCGAAUUGCUACUGGACUGCGCUGAGCUGGAAUUGAAUGUUCGCGAGACUUUUCGAACUCUGUUGACGGAGAAGCGCGCAAAUUGGCUGCGAUGCAAAAAUGAGUGUAUGGAACGACUGACAGAAUUAGCUGAUGUUUUUAGCGGAGCAAAGCCCUUGACUCGAGUUGACAAAAACGAGAGUCUUCAAUUGUGGCUUCGGGAAAUCGCUCAGCAAGUUGAAGCACUAAACUAUGAAGAAGGCACAGCUUCUGGCCGUAAAAUGGUUCAGCUCAUUUCUGCCCUCGAAGAAGUUCAAGAAUUUCAUCAACUUGAUUCCCAAUUACAAGUCAAGCAGUUUUUGACAGAAACCCGUCGACAGUUGCACCAUAUGAUUCGUACCGCAAACAUUCGAGAGGACUUUCUCAUUACACUCCAAAUAGUCUCGGAUCUGAGUUAUGCUUGGCUAAUAAUUGACUCCUACACGGGCCACAUGCAGACAGCAAUUCGGAAAGAUCCAACCUUAGUGGGUCGUUUACGAGCAACCUUUUUAAAACUGUCUUCCGCUCUCGACUUACCCUUGAUGCGCAUUAAUCAAGCACGGAGUGCUGACUUGGUUUCCGUUUCGCAGUAUUACUCGACCGAACUCGUCUCUUACAUUCGUCAUGUGUUGCAUAUAAUUCCGCAAUCCAUGUUUGCCUUAGUCGAACAAAUUGUUCAACUCCAGACUAAUGUUAUCAAAGAAAUGCCAGUGAGGCUAGAUAAAGAUAAACUCAAGGACUACGCACAACUAGACCAGCGAUUUCAGAUUGCCAAGCUUACAGAAUCUGUCUCAACGUUCACUGAGGGUAUUUUAGCUAUGAAGACAACUUUAGUUGGUAUAGUCCGUCUGGAUCCUAAACGGUUACUGGAAGAGGGUAUUCGCCGGGAAUUAGUACGUAGAAUGGCGAUGGCCAUGCACGUUUCGCUCUCUUUCAAUGCCAAAGCAAAGAACAGCGAUCUCGCUCACAAGCUAAACGGCUUAGGCGAAACCAUGGAAGGACUCCGUAAAUCUUUUGAGUACAUCCAAGAUUACGUACGAAUCCAAGGUCUUCGCAUGUUUCAAGAAGAAACAGCGCGAAUCGUUGGGUACAAUGUUGAACAGGAAUGCAAUACAUUUCAGACAAACCAUAUUCAAGAUUGGCAAAGUAAGUUCCAGUCAACCGCAGUACCAAUUCCCCGGAUGUCGUCAAAUGAUCCUCAUUCCGCUACGUUCAUUGGUCGAUUAGCCCGCGAAAUUCUGCGUAUCACUGACCCCAAAACAACUGUGUUUGUUUCGUUCACCAACACCUGGUAUGACGGCAAAUCUCAAACAGAAGUGUUAAACUUCUUACUGUUCUCUCAGCUAGAGCGAGCUCUAAGUACGUCAGGAUUGGCUGGACUAGACACCCUUUUUGCCUUUAUGAUCACCACUGAAUUGACUAACCUUUUCAGUGACUUGAAUAAGGAGGUGUUUCGCCAUCAAGAUUCUCUGGAAGCUCUAGCGGAAUUUGAUCACUUAACCGCUCCCACAACGGCGAUCCUCGGCCAGCCAAAUAAAACAUAUGGGGUUUAUUGUACGCGUUUCCACAAAUCUUUUCAGACGCUCCUUGACCGCGUACUGAAAAUUGGGCAAUUGCAAUUACUCAGACGAUCGUGCUCUCAACAGCUGAAGUCUACUGCAUCAUUCGACUCUGGACUACUUUGGCAAGCACUCGAAACACUGAGUUUGUCAGUAGUGAAUGACGUGGUGCAUAGAGACAAAAAUUCCGAUUCCAUUUCCACAUCACUUCUCCCGGAAUUGGCAGAGUAUCUACACUGGUCCGGUCUCUACGAGCCUUUCGAGAAGAUUUAUGUGGCCACACAAAGUCUCGACCUGCCCUACAUUCCACAUUUGCUGCUCUUGUUUAUUGUGUCAAAUGUACACAAGUUUACCUAUAGCAAGCAACUUGCUAGUUUGGUGUCUAGACGAUCUCAGGAUGGCGUGGACGGGACUCCCUUUGUGACCGGGAUUGCCACAAUAUUACGCCAUCUAGGACCGACGACCACACAGACAUGCUGCUGCCUUUUAAUCCAAUUUGCUCGCUCUCACUUGGAGUUUGGAGCGAGCAACAAAGAGAAUCUUAUGGAAAUCCCGAGUGAGAGUGGAACUACACUUGCGUUGCUGGAACAAUGGGAAAAGUGCGGUCUGAUAAGUCACGCCUUUUUAAACAGCCUACUCAACGAAGGCGUUUGGUCGCUAUACAAAAUGUCAAUGCAGUAAUGCAGUUAUGUGGCCUUACAGUUAUUAUGACCUAUGGCAUGAGAGAAAACGUGUCGGAGCUGUGCUGUAGACUUUAGUCAGUUACACCGAUCUGCCGUUGGGUAGCAUUCGCAUUUCCUUGUGGAAUGAAAUCGCAGUGACUCUUCCGGUUGUUAGGCUUCGUUCUCCUUUGGUAAACCAAUUUGCUACAGUCAGCUCCCAGUCAAUGUUUUGAAUACCUGCCGCUAAAAUUCAGUUGGCGGCAUGGAAUACGAUCAAAUCACAUGUGUGUUGGAGUUGACGGCCGUGGUUUGCUAUGGAUUCCUUAUUCUUGCCUUGGCUUUGCACUGGCCGAAUGAAGCCAACACAUAUCUUCUAUUCUUUUGCCUGUCAAAUGGGAUUUUAGCCGUCGUUUCAGCAUUCAAGCCAAAAGCAGACUGUGAUCUUUGUCGUUGGAUUGGUAUCCUGACGAUGUGGUCCUUGACUUUUGGAUUGGAUAUGUUAUACCGAAGCCAGAUCGAACGGGAGUAUAUGGCUGAGCACCAGUUCAGACUCUGUAAAAGCCAACCAAUACAUUUGACAAUAAUGAGGACCUUGGUUGUUUCAACUGGAACAUCCCUUGCAGCAUGGAAUCUCUACCGCUACAGCCCUGCAUUUCACACGUGUUUUGUCAAAGCUUCAGAAACUACUAAGCUCGACGAAACGUUGAUUAGUUUCUUUUGGAUUUUAUUCUUCUACCUUCGUCCCAUGGCUCUGGCCGUCAAACGAAGUCCGCUUAUUGUGAUUACAUGCCACCGUCAAAUUCAAGUGUUGAAGCACGAAAGAGAGUUGUCCAUCAACGGAAAACUCUUUCUUUACAAAGACCACCACAGAAGACUUUUUCACGUUUUAACCUCAACGGUAUCGCAGAUUUGUCUGGUCGUGUGGAUAGCGCUGACUCUGCCGUACGUAAUUCAACUGACUUCCUUGGUCGCUGGAUUGAAUACCGCCAUGCGAUUGGAGGAAAUGCCAUCCCCGUACACAACUGUGCUUAUGUAUAUGUACCAAUCUCUACCUUUGGUCAACUGUUUCUUGUUGGUAUCGGCAUUUGUAGUAUAUUUUUCGCUGAAACUGAAAGGAUGAUAAUAGGAUGAUAGCCCGAUUUUCUAUUUAAUUUAAUUCACAAUGUGUUAUUUUUGUUGCUCUACUGUUAAUGCAUAAAAGUGAAAUCGCAAAAUGAAAGCACAGCGCAAGUAAAGUUAAUUCUUCGUGUUUUUUUCUUCUUAUCUAAUGAAUUUAAUUUGUUUAAAGAAAUAGGAAAAAUAAGAUUGAAGCUUA
rnacentral:misc_RNA from 1 species